AUCUAAAUAGUUUAUUAAGAAUAAUAAUUUGUGGUGUUAUAGGUGCAUUUAAUUGCUUUGGAUU
rnacentral:tRNA from 1 species